rnacentral:rRNA from 1 species
UACGAAGGGGGCUAGCGUUGCUCGGAAUCACUGGGCGUAAAGGGUGCGUAGGCGGGUUUUUAAGUCAGGGGUGAAAUCCUGGAGCUCAACUCCAGAACUGCCUUUGAUACUGAAGUUCUUGAGUCCGGGAGAGGUGAGUGGAACUGCGAGUGUAGAGGUGAAAUUCGUAGAUAUUCGCAAGAACACCAGUGGCGAAGGCGGCUCACUGGCCCGGUACUGACGCUGAGGCACGAAGGCCAGGGGAGCAAACGGG